UCUGCUCUGCACACUGGCACCCAAG
rnacentral:piRNA from 1 species